UCACACAACCUGCCUGCAGAGUGACAAGAAAACCCUAAAUUGAUGUAUUUUAAUCCAGAAGGAUACCAGUACGUAGUCAAAGAGAAAGAUAUGCACUCGGCAUUGUGACUGUUUCCUAAUCUCAGGGAUCCUUACUCCACCAAUGGCUAUGAACACUUCUACGAUGCUGCAAGAGGGACGGGCUAUCUGGCAUGGCGCCUAAAGCAACGAGUGUCGCAGCGUUUGGUCAAGAACAGAUCGGGAGCCUUGGAAUACAUGAACACCAUGAGCUUUUUAAGGAGGUAGACUUUCUAAUGAGGAGACACAGCACUCAAAAAAUCCUCCAUAGAAAUGCAUGGGGUUAGUUUGUAACGUAUGG